UUUUUUUCUCAACAAUAACUUCGAGCUCUUCCUUCUCUGGUAAUUCUUGAGCAGUUCCCUCUCCUCCAUGCAUUCCUUCUCGUUCUCAUUUGCCUGUGGAGUUCGGAAUGGACUAGGAAGUGAUCUUGGAGUGGGUGGAUCCUUUUGAGUGAAAGAGAGUACCAUAGAGGAGACGAGAUCGUGUGGCAUGCGGAUGGUGAGAAGAUUGUGAGAAACGAGUAUAAUCCAGCUACUUUUUAUGCAUCUGAGUGUUCAGACCGCAUACAAAUUCGGACGAGGUGUAUGAAGUAGCUGCCAAACCUGUGGUGAUGUCUGCCACGGAUGGUGUAAACGGUAUGAACUCUGGAUUCAAGAAAAUUUUUCUUUCACAACGGGAUGUGAUUCCUCUACCUGUGUCCAAGUUAGUGCACUUGCAGAGUCGUUCUAUUUCUAUGAUGGAAGCUGCUUUAGUUUUCUUGAUGCAUAUAGUUAAUAGCUAGAUUUCAAUGUUAUCUGGUGGAGUUUGGUGGGUUUGGAAGAUAACUAAUGAUAAACAUUGCAGGAACUGUGUUUGCAUACAGUGUGAUUAAUAAAAGGUUUAAAGAAUAAUU